rnacentral:lncRNA from 1 species
UCAUGGGCACAAGUUUGUGGCUCUCACUUCAGCUUCCUCUUCCUUUCAUUGUAAAUUUCAUUUUGAGACAAGUAGAUCAUUUCUUUGUCUUCAUUCGCCACAAAUAUUUUCAAUAAAAGGUACGUUUGUGAAAUGUUUUAUGAGUUGAUAUGUUGUUGUUGUUCAAAAUAUUUGCCUCGUUUUUUAAUUCCAGUUGAGUUUAUUAUAUCGUAUGUAGAUGGCUUGUUUCACUAACUCCUUACUAAACACCCAUUCAUUUAAAUUGAUUUAAAAAUGAUAAUCUGAAAAAUUAGGUUAUGUUUUAAAACCAACUUAGGUGGAUCAAUGUUUUUCGAAUUGCAUGCAUCUUGUAAUUCAACUCUGGUUCUUUAACAUAUAUAAUUUGGUUCAAUUCCCCAAGUUCUUCAAAACAAUGAUUCAUUUUCUUCUAUUUUAUAUUGUAAAACAUCAAAUUUGUUGAUAAGUUUUGAAUAAUCUUCAUCAUUGUCAUCAUAAUAAUCAUCAUCAUCGAUUAAAAUAAUGAUGAUGAUAGUGGUGAUGAUGACUCAAAAUUAGUCAACAAAUUGAUGCUUUGCUAAAUAAACUAUAAGAUAAUGAACUUUUAUUUGAAGAACUUGGGGCAUUGAACCAAAUUCUAUAUGUUAAAGAGCGAGAGAUGAAUUACAAAAUGCAUGCAAUUCAAAAAACAGUGGAGCGUCUAAGUUGUUUUCCAAGAAUACUUUAAUUUUUCAUAUUAUUAUCUUCUAAAUCAAUUUGAAUCUUCUAAAUCAAUUUGAAUAGUUGUAUAUGUUUAUUGAGGGGUAAGAAAAAACAAGCAAUCUACAUAUUUUAUAAACCACCACUGUUGGAAUAUAUAACCGUGGUGAAAUGUUAAAUUUAUCACACUUUAAUUAAAUUGUUGUUGCUGGAUUUCAAACCCAUGACACACCCCAAAGGGGUGGGGCCCACAGGAAAAAAAAAAAAAGGGAAAAGGGGUUUUUGGUUUUUUUGUUUUUUUUUAAAUUUUUGCCAAAUUUAAACUAAAUACCCUAAAAAAAAAACCAUCCCCCCAUUUAGAAAUUUAAUUGUUGUAAAAGAAAAAAGUGGAAUUUGUAAGAUUUUAAUAAAAAUUAACUUUUAUUAAUAAUAAGAAGAAAUAUAAAUUAAAAUAAUGAAAAUAACAAAAAAAUUAUGAAUAUUUAAAGCAUAAUAGAAGUGUUACAUUAAUCAUUCAUUGAUAUAGUAAAAAAACAUACAUUUUAGUAAAAAAAAAAUAUAUUAUUACUAGAUGUAAAUAAUCAACACAAUAUAUAUUUUUAUAUUUUUUUAUUAUAACGUUCAGAUGUUAAAUUAUCAAUUUUAUUAAAUACAUCACUAUUAAAUUUCUACACGCGUUUUUAUAUAAAUAUUUUUUUAUUUCUUAACUUAAUAAUAACAUCCUUGAAUUUUUAAUAUUGUUAAAAACUUAAAAUGACAUGAUAAAUUAUAAUUGUUAUAUAUUUUUUUAUUCAAAAUACGGAUAAAUGAUAUGAGUGUGGGUACUUAAAUACUCUCAAAGUACGAGGAGAGAUACAAGAAUUGAUGCUCAAGCAGGUAUGAGAUAUGGUAGGAUGAUUUUUUUAAAAUUGCGGGUAUGAGGACAAGGAAAUAGACCAUGCCCAAACCUUGCACGUUAUUAUCCAUAAUUUUUGUCAUAGUAUCUUAAAUAAAUUUUAGAAAAGAUGUCAAAUAUAAUAUGAUUAAGUUUUUCUUUUAAACAAUCUUAUAUUUAUAUAUAUUUUAUCAAAAAAAUCACGCUUUUAAUGAGAAUUUUAGGUUAAUUAAUUGUACCUAGAUUAUUUACUAGGUCUUAAGAGGGAUAAUUGAUGAAGAAGAAGAAAAGUCAAACACACUAACAACGGAUAAACAUCCAAACAAAACCAUAAGUCGCCCUUAUUAGCACAGGUCAUCGCUAAGCAGCACCAGGGAUUGCCUGAAAUAACCAAAAGUCGUCUUUUAAGGCCUAGGCCACCUGAACUGGUUUUAUUUAAUCAUUCACUUAAUAAACAUGGUUGAUGAAGUGUCCUUAUAAUAAUAUAAGGAAGAGAUCAAUCAAUGAGAAAAUUGUCUCCCCACGAUUUAAGGUAGAAUGAGUCUCUUCUAUGACACGUUUCCAAUUAGAGAGUUAGAAAAACCUCUCUCUAACUAUCUAGUUAAGGUUCAAGAAUCCUCCAUAUAUAUAUUUCAUUCCUAAAUUGUAAAGGAUCUAAAAUAUCCAUAGAUAUUGCUUUUCACAAUCCCAUGUGAGCAAACCCUUAAUCAUGUUGUCACUACUAUGGAAAAUCCUCUCACAACGGUUGGAAAAUGGAUACCACCAUGCUUGAUCAACCAUGUGAGAUAAUGGAUGGUUGUAUGUAUGAACUUUUCCACCAUGGGCGUUUGCGAUUGUAAUAAACUAGGUAGCGCGCUACCUAUCACAACUGUUAUAUUAAAUAACCAUAUAUAUAUAUAUAUAUAUAUAUAUAUAUAAUAUAUAUAUAUAUAUAUAUAUAUAUAUAUAUAUAUAUAUAUAUAUAUAUAUAUAUAUAUAUAUAUAUAUAUAUAAUAUAUAUUAUAUAUAAUUAUAUAAUAUAUAUAUAUUAUAUAUAUGUAUAUAUAUAUAUNUAUAUAUAUAUAUAUAUAUAUAUAUAUAUAUAUAUGGUUAUUUAAUAUAACAGUUGUGAUAGGUAGCGCGCUACCUAGUUUAUUACAAUCGUCAAACGCCCAUGGUGGAAAAGUUCAUACAUACAACCAUCCAUUAUCUCACAUGGUUGAUCAAGCAUGGUGGUAUCCAUUUUCCAACCGUUGUGAGAGGGAUUUUCCAUAGUAGUGACAACAUGAUUAAGGGUUUGCUCACAUGGGAUUGUGAAAAGCAAUAUCUAUGGAUAUUUUAGAUCCCUUUACAAUUUUAGGAAUGAAAUAUAUAUAUGGAGGAUUCUUGAACCUUAACUAGAUAGUUAGAGAGAGGUUUUUCUAACUCUCUAAUUGGAAACGUGUCAUAGAAGAGACUCAUUCUACCUUAAAUCGUGGGGAGACAAUUUUCUCAUUGAUUGAUCUCUUCCUUAUAUUAUUAUAAGGACACUUCAUCAACCAUGUUUAUUAAGUGAAUGAUUAAAUAAAACCAGUUCAGGUGGCCUAGGCCUUAAAAGACGACUUUUGGUUUAUUUCAGGCAAUCCCUGGUGCUGCUUAGCGAUGACCUGUGCUAAUAAGGGCGACUUAUGGUUUUGUUUGGAUGUUUAUCCGUUGUUAGUGUGUUUGACUUUUCUUUCUUCUUCAUCAAUUAUCCCCUCUUAAGACCUAGUAAAAUUAUCUAGGUACAAUUAAUUAACCUAAAAUUCUCAUUAAAA